GGGGAAUAUUGCACAAUGGGCGAAAGCCUGAUGCAGCGACGCCGCGUGAGGGAUGGAGGCCUUCGGGUUGUAAACCUCUUUCGCUCAUGGUCAAGCCGCAACUGUGGGUUGUGGUGAGGGUAGUGGGUAAAGAAGCGCCGGCUAACUACGUGCCAGCAGCCGCGGUAAUACGUAGGGCGCGAGCGUUGUCCGGAAUUAUUGGGCGUAAAGGGCUUGUAGGCGGUUGGUCGCGUCUGCCGUGAAAUCCUCUGGCUUAACUGGGGGCGUGCGGUGGGUACGGGCUGACUUGAGUGCGGUAGGGGAGACUGGAACUCCUGGUGUAGCGGUGGAAUGCGCAGAUAUCAGGAAGAACACCGGUGGCGAAGGCGGGUCUCUGGGCCGUUACCGACGCUGAGGAGCGAAAGCGUGGGGAGCGAACAGGAUUAGAUACCCUGGUAGUCCGCACAGUAAACGAUGGAUGCCCGCUGUUGGUACCUAGUAUCAGCGGCUAAGCGAAAGCAUUAAGCAUCCCACCUGGGGAGUACGCCGGCAACGGUG
rnacentral:rRNA from 1 species